AACUGUAUGUGCUGGCGUUCAGUUAAAAUCCUCUUAAAUUCAUUUGCAUUUAUAAAAAUUUAUGAAAGAGCCAUUUAUAAAAGAGCUUCCUGCAGCAGUUAUGUAUAGAUUGGUAUAGAUAUAAAUGUAUAAAGUAUGCAUUUACAAAGUUGUCUGUAAACAAAGUGUGAUAAUAUUUACCGUGUAUUAGAGUCUAUAUAACGACGGAAAUAAAGAAUAAUAAGGAAAAGUGAUUUAUACUUUGUGUUUAUUACAAAUUUUUGAAGUCAUAGAGAACAUACAGAAUUAGCAUUUAAUUUUGGAACAUUAUUUCAAAUGCCUGAUUACUCAGCCAAGGAAUACAGAAACAAGUCAGAGUGAUAAGAAAAUGUAUUAUCUUCCAAACGAUCUUAAACGAAGAGAGUAAUUGUGAAUUAACUGCGUAACUCUUGGUGGAAAAUAGAAUGUAAUUGAAUAUAAAUCCAAUUUUUUAAUAUAUUAUGUUUAACAAGGUCACAAUUGUACACACAGGUCUGUUAACUGCUGUAAAGGAGAUGAGGUUCUUAAUGUCGCAAGAUGUACUUUACAAAUCAGCCAUCAUUGAACACUGCGAUCAGGUAGCUAGGAUUUUGUGUUUGGCGCCAUUCUUCAGUGAAAGCACUAAAGAUGUCAGCAGUAUAUGCACUACUGCAAACAGGCAGUACAUUGAAAUUAUAGAAGCAGCAUGGGCAACUACUACUUAUGAACCAAAUAACAGGCAAACAAAAAUAAUUCCACAAGACAUUCUUGACAAAAUCAGAGAAAAAAGGAAAGGGAAAGCAAAAUGGCAAAAACAUAGAAUACGUGAAAGCAAAAAAACAUCUAAACAAACUUCUAAAGGAAAUAGAAAGUAAAAUAAAAGAUCAUAAUAAUAACGAAUUCUCAAAAUUCAUAGAUUCACUCUGUGCGUACGAGAAUGCCAACUAUGUUCUAUGGAAAGCCAUGAACAAAAUAAAGAAGCUAAUAAAACUAAUCCCAGUAAUCAGAAAAACAGACAACACAUGAGCCAGAAGCAAUGGAAAGAAGGCUGAAGAAUUUUGCAACCAUCUUUGUUGAAGUUAUCUGUUCGAGGAACGUGUGAUGAAUGUGUAACAGAAAUAUAUUUGAGUCGUUGCAUUACAACAGAGCUUCGAAGCCAUGUGUCUAACUAUAAUACUAGUCUAUAUACUUACUAUUACUUACUAUUAUAUAUAGUAUUAUAUAGUUCUUCUUCAAACUUACUAUUACUUACUAUUGGUGGCCCGUCUAUAUAUAUCUGGUUGCACUAUCUGUGUGCAUGGCAUAUUCUUAAAAAGGCUAUGAGACUGGAAGGCCCUUCAAAUUUAUUUAGAGCUAAACAAUACUCAAUGGCUUUGAGGACUAAGAAAACUAAACACUAAAGAAGAUGUAGAGUUUUCCUAGAAUCAAGAAUUACGAGCUGGAUCUUUCACGCCAAUAGAAAACUGCAGUCCACGAAAUAGGCUUAGAAAUCUGUUAUAAUUAUUUUAGUUUACUUUAAAACAAAUUUUUUGUAUUCGUUAAAUAUAUAUAAAACCAUAUGCCAAAA